rnacentral:tRNA from 1 species
GCGGGAGUCGCCCAGCCUGGCCAAAGGCGUAGGGCUUAGGACCCUAUCUCUUAGGAGUUCGUGGGUUCGAAUCCCACCUCCCGCA